GGUUGCGGUCAUACCAGCACUAAUGCACCGGAUCCCAUCAGAACUCCGCAGUUAAGCGUGCUUGGGCGAGAGUAGUACUAGGAUGGGUGACCCCCUGGGAAGUCCUCGUGUUGCAACCC
rnacentral:rRNA from 1 species